GAUCCUACUUCUGUGGAGGGUGUCAGUAACAACUCAUCUUGCCAUGAGGAAACCAAGAGCAGCUCCUCUGCGAAGCUCUGAUCCUUGCACAUCAGGAAGGAGAACAGUGCGAGCUGCAGUGAUUUGGCAGACGGAGCUGUGCCCAACGGAAGCCUUAGCCUGCAUUCCGUCUGGCAUCUUCUUUCCUGGCACGGGCACCUGACUCAACAUCAGAAGUGGGUAGAAGGUUACGAAAUGUCAUCUUGCCCUGCCCACUUCCCCUGACUUUGGUCCUACCCACUUAUCCUUUUCCCUGGUCUAAAUAAAUUGGUUCCCAGAUUUGA